rnacentral:rRNA from 1 species
UCAUUUCCUUAGUAACGUAGCUAACGCGUGAAGUUGACCGCCUGGGGAGUACGGUCGCAAGAUUAAAACUCAAAGGAAUUGACGGGGACCCGCACAAGCGGUGGAUGAUGUGGAUUAAUUCGAUGCAACGCGAAAAACCUUACCUACCCUUGACAUGCCACUAACGAAGCAGAGAUGCAUUAGGUGCUCGAAAGAGAAAGUGGACACAGGUGCUGCAUGGCUGUCGUCAGCUCGUGUCGUGAGAUGUUGGGUUAAGUCCCGCAACGAGCGCAACCCUUGUCUCUAGUUGCUACGAAAGGGCACUCUAGAGAGACUGCCGGUGACAAACCGGAGGAAGGUGGGGAUGACGUCAAGUCCUCAUGGCCCUUAUGGGUAGGGCUUCACACGUCAUACAAUGGUGCAUACAGAGGGUUGCCAAGCCGCGAGGUGGAGCUAAUCCCAGAAAAUGCAUCGUAGUCCGGAUCGUAGUCUGCAACUCGACUACGUGAAGCUGGAAUCGCUAGUAAUCGCGGAUCAGCAUGCCGC